rnacentral:rRNA from 1 species
UGGUGGAGCGAUUUGUCUGGUUAAUUCCGAUAACGAACGAGACUCUAGCCUAUUAAAUAGUAAACCCGCCCUUAGCGUGUUCUUACUUCUUAGAGGGACAGGCGGCAUUGAGCCGCACGAAAAAGAGCAAUAACA